rnacentral:rRNA from 1 species
GACGAACGCUGGCGGCGGGCUUAACACAUGCAAGUCGAACGGAAAGGCCCUGCUUGUGUCUGGUGCCCGAGUGGCGAACGGGUGAGUAACACGUGAGUAACCUGCGCUGUACUUUGGGAUAACUGCAGGAAACUGGGGCUAAUACCGGAUACGAGCUCCUGCUGCAUGGUGGGGGUUGGAAAGUUUCGGCGGUUGGGGCUGGACGCGAGGGUUAUCAGCUUGUUGGUGGGGGAGUUGCUUACCAAGGCAUUGACGGGUAGCCGGCAUGAGAGGGUGAACGGGCACCAUGCUCCUGCGAUAGGGACCAGAGUCGUAUAGGAGACAGUGGGCGAGAACCUUGUCCAACCGGGGGAAGUCUGAGGAGAAAGUCUUGGGAGUGUGAUGCACGUUUAGGGGUUGGAAAGCGCAGUAGCUUGUGACCAAGCGUGAGUGACGGUACCGGCUAAAGAAGCACCGGCUAACUACGUG